rnacentral:rRNA from 1 species
AUGCUUUCCCAUGCAGCUAGGUUAGAGCUUAUUCGGUCUGUUUUUUCUUCCAUUCCAGUCUAUUACAUGUCAAAUAUUUUGUUUACCAAAAAAUUUAUUUCCAAACUCACUUCUAUUAUCAGAACUUUUUGGUGGAUAGGAAUUAAGGAGGGCAAUUCUUCGGAAGGUCUUUGCCUUAGAGCAUGGAAGGAUAUAUGUACUUCUAAGGAGGAGGGAGGUUUGGGAAUAAGAAAUCUUCAAGCCAUGAACCAAGGUCUUAUUCUUGCCUCUUCUUGGAGACUUGCUAAUGCUCCCAACUCACAUUUGUCUCUUGUUCUCAAGUCUAAGUAUUUUCCGGAUUCUUCCAUAUGGACUGCUACUUCUAGCCCUCCAAAAUCAGCUUUCUGGUCAUCUAUUCUUAGAAUGCUCCCUAAACUCAAAGCUCAUUGGUUAUACCAUAUCACCCAAGGGAACAUUUCCAUUUGGAGUACCCCUUGA